CCUACGGGUGGCAGCAGUGGGGAAUAUUGGACAAUGGGCGCAAGCCUGACCCAGCAACGCCGCGUGAGGGAAGAAGGCUUUCGGUUUGUAAACCUCUUUUGGCAGGGACGAAACAAGUGACGGUACCUGACGAAUAAGCCACGGCUAACUACGGGCCAGCAGCCGCGGUAAUCCGUAGGGGGCAAGCGUUAUCCGGAUUUACUGGGUGUAAAGGGCGGGUAGGCGGGACUGCAAGUCAGAUGUGAAAACCAGGGGCCCAACCUGUGGACUGCUUUUGAAACUGUAGGUCUGGAGUGCUGGAGAGGCAAGCGGAAUGCCUAGUGUAGCGGUGAAAUGCGUAGAUAUUAGGCGGAACACCAGUGGCGAAGGCGGUUUGCUGGACAGCAACUGACGCUGAGGCGCGAAAGCGUGGGGAGCAAACAGGAUUAGAUACCCUUGUAGUC
rnacentral:rRNA from 1 species